GCUGGCCGGCUAUUUUAAGACAUGAAACGUCGAGCCGGUAACAGAUCCAGCUUGCUGGAUGCUGACGAGCGGCGGACGGCUGAGUAACACGUAGGAAUCUGCCUGGUAGAGGGGGAUAGCCCGGAGAAAUCCGGAUUAAUACCGCAUACGCCCUAAGGGGGAAAGCAGGGGAUCUUCGGACCUUGCGCUAUCAGAGGAGCCUGCGUCGGAUUAGCUAGUUGGUGGGGUAAAGGCCUACUAAGGCGACGAUCCGUAGCUGGUCUGAGAGGAUGAUCAGCCACAUUGGGACUGAGACACGGCCGAAUGCUNCUACGGGAGGCAGCAGUGGGGAAUAUUGCACAAUGGGGGAAACCCUGAUGCAGCUAUGCCGCGUGUGUGAAGAAGGCCCUAGGGUUGUAAAGCACUUUCAGCGAGGAGGAAAGGGUGUAGGUUAAUACCCUGCAUCU
rnacentral:rRNA from 1 species